UGCGUAGGCGGGUCUUUAAGUCAGGGGUGAAAUCCUGGAGCUCAACUCCAGAACUGCCUUUGAUACUGAGGAUCUUGAGUUCGGGAGAGGUGAGUGGAACUGCGAGUGUAGAGGUGAAAUUCGUAGAUAUUCGCAAGAACACCAGUGGCGAAGGCGGCUCACUGGCCCGAUACUGACGCUGAGGCGCGAAAGCGUGGGAGCAAACA
rnacentral:rRNA from 1 species